UACGUAGGUGGCAAGCGUUAUCCGGAAUUAUUGGGCGUAAAGCGCGCGCAGGCGGUUUCUUAAGUCUGAUGUGAAAGCCCACGGCUCAACCGUGGAGGGCCAUUGGAAACUGGGGAACUUGAGUGCAGAAGAGAAAAGCGGAAUUCCACGUGUAGCGGUGAAAUGCGUAGAGAUGUGGAGGAACACCAGUGGCGAAGGCGGCUUUUUGGUCUGUAACUGACGCUGAGGCGCGAAAGCGUGGGGAGCAAACAGG
rnacentral:rRNA from 1 species